rnacentral:misc_RNA from 1 species
UGAGAGGGUAAAAGUAUCCCGGAUUAUGAAGCUGAAUGAGCAAUUGAAAUGCAGAGGGUCCUUUCCGGGUCCCUGCUUUACAUUUAUAUUUCAUUCCGUGAUCAAGCUACCGUUUCUUAUCUCAAGUUUUCAACUUAACAACCUGUGUGAUUCAAUUGAUAUCCUGUAGGUUUUAAUGAUACUGACUGAAACAAAAUGUUGGUUUUAAUGAAAUAACAGAUUGUUUCAGUCAGUAUCAU